rnacentral:rRNA from 2 species
GGUUAAGCGACUAAGCGUACACGGUGGAUGCCCUGGCAGUCAGAGGCGAUGAAGGGCGUGCUAAUCUGCGAUAAGCGCCGGUAAGGUGAUAUGAACCGUUAUAACCGGCGAUACCCGAAUGGGGAAACCCAGUGUGACUCGUCACACUAUCAUUAACUGAAUCCAUAGGUUAAUGAGGCGAACCGGGGGAACUGAAACAUCUAAGUACCCCGAGGAAAAGAAAUCAACCGAGAUUCCCCCAGUAGCGGCGAGCGAACGGGGAGGAGCCCAGAGCCUGAAUCAGCAUGUGUGUUAGUGGAAGCGUCUGGAAAGGCGCGCGAUACAGGGUGACAGCCCCGUACACAAAAGCGCAUGUGCUGUGAGCUCGAUGAGUAGGGCGGGACACGUGGUAUCCUGUCUGAAUAUGGGGGGACCAUCCUCCAAGGCUAAAUACUCCUGACUGACCGAUAGUGAACCAGUACCGUGAGGGAAAGGCGAAAAGAACCCCGGCGAGGGGAGUGAAAAAGAACCUGAAACCGUGUACGUACAAGCAGUGGG